GAGGAGGAGGGAGAGUGACGAUGAAGGGAGGAGGGGGGAGGAAGGGGAGGUGAUUCCAUGAGUGAUUUGGAGCCAGAGAGCGUUGAUCAUGAGACAUGCAUUGGAAGAAUCAACAAAAUCAAUAAACAGCAGAUGAACCAAUGGCAAGGGGCCGGGUCGAUCAGGUGACCCCGACGCUGCGGGGGGGAGCUGGGACAUGUUUCAAUCUUAUGUUCAUCAAGAUAUGAGAUGUUAUUGUGAUGUAAUGCCAUGGGCAUUCUUGCUUUACCACACACACACACACACACACACACACACACACACACACACACACACACACACACACACACACACACACACACACACACACACACACACACACACACACACACACACACACACACACACACACACA